GACGCAAGCAGAAAACACGCUAAAGGCUCCCUGGAUGCACCAUUCUUCAGCCUUGGCCCAAAGUUCUCUUCUUUCUUGCUCAUCUCAAUUGAUUUUAUACAGAACCAGAUCUUGCUGGAUUUGUUAUUCGGUGUUGAAGUCUUGAGUUCGUUGGCCGAGCUUCCGAAUGUGAUCAAGGUUAUAAAAUGGAUCUCAACUUUAUUGAUGAAGAGGUAAUGUCUGUGUGUGUUUAAAAUAAAUCAUGAUUCUAUGAAAUUUGAUUGAUAUGUUUGUAGCUUUUGAUUUUGUCUUUGAUUUGUUAUUGUUUAUUCAGAUGCUUGCAUUGGUGUACCAUGUGAUUACGAGUAGAUUGAUUUUGAUAUGUGUGUAAAAGGGAGAAAUCCUAAUGCAAUGAAAUUUGAUUGAUAUGUUUGUAGCUUUUGAUUUUGUCUUUGAUUUAUUAUUGUUUAUUCAGAUGCUUGGAUUGGUGUACCAUGUGAUUACGAGUAGAUUGAUUUUGAUAUGUUUGUAAAAAGGAGAAAUCCCAAUGCAAAUUAGAAAACCUGGUGAUGUCUGUUUAUUCAUCAUGGUUUGUAUCGAUUUGAAUAUUAUGCACAAACUGAAGGUUUGUAUGCUAAAUGUUCUUCAGGUAGAUCUUGCUGGAUUUGUUAUUUGGUGUUGAAGUCUUGAGUUCGUUGACCAAGCUUCCGAAUGUGAUCAAGGAUAUAAAAUGAUUUUAUGAAAUUUGUUUGAUAUGUUUGUAGCUUUUGAUUUUGUCUUUGAUUUGUAUAGAUUCUUUAUUGUUUAUUCAGAUGCUUGCAUUGGUCGAUGAAAGCUGUUAAAGAGGAAGCACUUGUGUACCUAAGGCCUGAUCAACCAAAGGAAAACCGCUGCUUAGUAACAGCAGUGGUUCAGUAUCUACAGCGGAUUACAUAAGAGAAGCUGAUGUGUCAGCUAGAGAGCAUGUCCAACAAUGCUUUUCUUAUGUCAUCCAACAGUGAGGUGGCAGCGAUAGAGGAAGCAUAGUGACAUCAUAAUUCAAAGAUCUGUCAUCCAAACCACUGCCCUAACUUUUAAUUUCAAAGGUCUGGCCCACAUUCAAUUAUGAAACCGCUGAUGUUCAUUGAAAUUUCAAACGGCUGAUGCUCAUUAAAAUGGGAGGGUAAUUUGAAAUUUCAAACGAAUUGAAGCGGUGGUUCUUGUGUAAUAGUGUUUAGUGUAUCGGUGUUUAGAUUUUGUUACAGCUUCGAUGACGGUUGUCAGAUUUAUUAAAAUGUAAUUGCUACAGUUUGAAUAUUAUUGUUAUUAUAUUAUCAUCUGUUGAUCGUGGUCUGUUAAAGCACUGCUCUUAAACAUUCUCUGUUGAACUGCAUCAUCUGUUAGUCCAUAGGAGAGGUUCUCUUUGGCAGACCUUUGAUUGAACCGGAGCGGUAUUUAUCAGCAGAUGUUCAUCAUGAGGCACUGCUGUAGACAGAUGUUUGAAAUCUUCUGUUGAAGUGUAUCACUGUUAAGUCACAGCAGAUGUUAGCAAUUUAUACUAUGGAAUGAUCAGCAGAUGUUAUGUUUUGUAGACCUUUGUUUCAACAGCAGAUGUUAGCUUUAUGAUACUUUUGUAUUUAUAUUCAGUAGUAGAGGUUGUUUUAUCAGCAGAGGUUAUUUGCUGUAACAGUCUUUAUGUUUAUUAGCAGAGGUUGUUUUAUCAGCAAAGGUUAUUUGCUAUAACAGUGUUUGUGUUUAUUAGCAGAGGUUGUGUUUAUUAGCAGAGGUUAUU
rnacentral:lncRNA from 1 species